rnacentral:rRNA from 1 species
GCCACUUGCAGUAUCUGUGGGAAUGGAAUCGAGGAUGAACACCACGCAGUGGUUAUGUGCACAAAAAACAGAGCCAUCAGAUCUGCCAUGAGGGAUGUGUGGAACUUGCCCCCUGAAAAUAAGUUUAUGUACAUUGGAGACAAUUGGCUGCAAACACUGCUGGACGCUGAAAAUGACGAGGGGCGAGCAAAGAUCCUGCUGACACUUUGGAGAUGCUGGCAUCUAAGAGAAGACUGCCUGCGAAAUCAUGGCAGAGAAUCAAUUGCAAGCUCUAAGCAAUUUCUGACAAAAUAUGAAGAGGAGCUAAAAAAUGCAACUGGACGUUAUCAGGAAGCUGACGAUAAGGGAAAGAGGACAGUAGAGAUAGCAGGGGAUCAGGUAGCAGUAAAUCAUGUCGACCAAUGGUCGCCGCCUACACAGGGUGUUGCCAAAAUUAACACUGAUGGAGCAUUCUUGGGUGAAACCGGUGAAAACAUUGUUGGGGGUGUCGCUAGGGAUCACCAUGGUUUCGUCUUCCUGUCGAUUUGCAAAAAGCUACCGUGCUGCUAA